UACGAAGGGUGCAAGCGUUACUCGGAAUUACUGGGCGUAAAGCGUGCGUAGGCGGUUUGUCGCGUCUGCUGUGAAAACUGGGGGCUCAACCCCCAGCCUGCAGUGGGUACGGGCAGACUAGAGUGCGGUAGGGGAGAUUGGAAUUCCUGGUGUAGCGGUGGAAUGCGCAGAUAUCAGGAGGAACACCGAUGGCGAAGGCAGAUCUCUGGGCCGUAACUGACGCUGAGGAGCGAAAGCAUGGGGAGCGAACAGG
rnacentral:rRNA from 1 species